UGAUGUUUAUUGUUCAUGUA
rnacentral:siRNA from 1 species